rnacentral:misc_RNA from 1 species
AACGCACCUUGCGCCCUUUGGUAUUCCGAUGGGCAUGCCUGUUCGAGUGUCUUGAAUUCAUCGCCGCCUCCGGUUUCGCGACCGGCUGGCGGCGGACUUGGGGGUCUGCCGCGGCGACGCGGCUCCCCUCGAAUGCAUCGGUGGGGUCUCCGAGCACCCACGGGCGUUGUAUUGUCCUCGUCCGACCGGGCCUCGCGUCCCCCGCCUCGACUGCCGUCCGAGCGGCGGUCAAGCACACUUUGAAAUCUGACCUCGAAUCAGGUAGGACUACCCGCUGAACUUAA